rnacentral:rRNA from 1 species
GAAGCGGGAAGAGCUCAAAUUUGAAAUCUAGUAGCCUUCGGCUGCUCGAGUUGUAAUCUAGAGAAGUGUUUUCCGUGCCGGCCCAUGUACAAGUCCCUUGGAACAGGGCGUCAUAGAGGGUGAGAAUCCCGUCCUUGACAUGGACCCCCGGUGCUCUGUGAUACACUUUCAACGAGUCGAGUUGUUUGGGAAUGCAGCUCAAAAUGGGUGGUGAAUUCCAUCUAAAGCUAAAUAUUGGCGAGAGACCGAUAGCGAACAAGUACCGUGAGGGAAAGAUGAAAAGCACUUUGGAAAGAGAGUUAAACAGUACGUGAAAUUGUUGAAAGGGAAACGAUUGAAGUCAGUCAUGCUCUUUGGUAUUUAUAUCAUUGAGUGGGGUCAACAUCAGUUUUGAUCGAUGGAUAAAGGCACUAGGAAGGUAGCACUCUCGGGUGAACUUAUAGCCUAGCGUCAUAUACAUUGAUUGGGACUGAGGAACGCAGCAUGCCUUUAUGGCCGGGAUUCGUCCACGUACAUGCUUAGGAUGUUGACAUAAUGGCUUUAAACGACCCGUCUUGAACACCG